AAAUUCAAAUUUUAUAAAAAUAAAAUGUUAGAUUCGAUGAGACGAGUAAAAACUCGCUCCAGUCUUACCCAUAACCGACCCUAGGCUCUAAAGUAAUACGGGACACCGGGAUCCCAGACCAAAGAAAAACAUUCCCAGAUUCCGGUGCGACUCUUCCGUGUCAGCCGCCGCUUGUCACCUCCAGCUGCAUUGCUGCGCUGCAGGUCAGUUUCGAUGAAGCCCAAAUUUCACUUGGAAACUCGCCUUGGUCCCCUUUUUUGCGUGAUCUGAAUUUUGGUGGGGAGUUGAUGAUGGUGGCAGAAAGGAUUUGGGUAGCUCGAUUGGUCUCGAUAGUGGACGGCUGUUGUGGUGGGGGAACUAUUUUGGUGACUGUAGGAUACAGUGGUAACCGUCGAGUCUGAUGGUGUUUCUGGUUUGGGUUGUUCACUCAAGAAUUGUUAAUUGCCUUAAGUUUCUGGACUGUUGCUGAUGAUCCCGUGUUAAAAAUCAGUUUUUUCUUCUUUAUUUGAUCGAAUUGCUGGUGAUGGUUUUUGAGAACUUGCUACUUGUGUUUUAUGGUGUCUGUGUAUGUGACAGUAUAUAUUGAGUGUGGAGACUUGGUAGAAGGAUUUGCUGAAAAUUUGGCUGAUGGGUGGCUUUGAUCUUUUUUUUUUUGUUUGUUCAUGUCCUGCUUGACGAUUUACAAGAUUAUUUCUAGGCACUGAACUCUAAUUGUGAUAAAGUCUCAAAUAAAAAAAAAAAUUAUCACUAAAAAUGCAUUUAUCUACUUGAUGAAUGCCAGUACUUUAUUACCAUCUAUGAUCAGCUCGAUCCUAUGAAUUCAACUAGUGGAUACUAACAAAGCUAAGAUAAUAAUAAAAAAAAA